CUCGGCCGCUCGAUAGAACGCCUCCUCCUCUUCCACCUCAGUCUUCCGCCCGUUCUAGGGUUUACGCGCGCCACAUUGCCGCUAGGGCUUCGGACGAGCUCCCAGGAGAUGCUCCUCACUAGGUGGGCCCUUGUUCGAUUUGGUUCGAUGGUUGAAACAUGUGGAUUUUGUGGUUGGUGGAAGGACGGAGUAUGACCGAGGCGUCAAGACUUUUCUCCGCUGAGGGAAGGUUGUCUCAGGUGGAAUGCGCCAUCAAGGUAACAUCUUUCUUCAAUCUUACCUGAAAGUUUUGCUAAAUACGUCGGUAGGAAGAAAAGGUCCAUCUUUUAGGGGUUUGGAAUGCUUCAAUUUUUCAGUUGGGGUCGACUGCGAUCGCACUGAAGACGAAAGAGUGCGUCGUGCUCGCAGUUGAGUAGCGCAUCACUUCAGCUCUGUUGGCACGUUUUCACCUUUUCCUGUUGGUCUAACUAAAAGAAUUGGAAGUCUCAAACAGGGACUCUUCUUCAUUCUGAAAGUUCAUAUUACGUAUGUUGCAAGCUAAGUUUGAACUCUUUGGUCUGGAUCGGGAUGCAUCAACGAAUUACCUAUAAAAAUGUAGAAUCCAUUGAAGAAUAAGGAAUGAUAAAGCAUUGUAUGCCUGUGACAUUUAUGUGCCUAUAAAUCUGGUUUUGUGUGACUAUAUGUUCAUGUGCUAAGUGAAUCCAUAUUUGCCAAUGGCUGAGUGAUAAAAGGUUGUCAUGUGACACCUAAAUCUUCACUCUACUGAUGCUUGAGUCCCAGUGGUAAAAACAGACGGUGCAUUGAGCUCCAAUAAUAGUUAGAUGACACCUCACAAUGAAUGAAACUAUUGCAGCUAGGCUGCCAUAGGAUUAGUGGCAUUGGUCACAUUUACUUAAGUUGUGCUAUUCAAGAAAAAUAUGAGGCUGUGCAAGUUCACCUAUUGUUAGCAAGGUGCAAUCAGCUUUUGUUAAAAGCAUUUUCCUUAUGAUCUCUCGCAAAUUUGAUGAUUGGGGAAAUCUUUAUCAGAUACGUUUUUCUUGUAUCCUGGAUGUCAUUUAGAGAGGCCAUAUAACAACCAGUCAAUUGGAGGUUGAGGGUGGAAUUAUCUGUGUCCUGCUGGUUGAGUUUUAGUAGAAUUUGUGCUAGUCAAAUACUUUCAGUGAGCUGCUUGAUGAAUGUGGUCCAAUAGGAAGUGUCCUGUAUCCAGAUUGGGUUCUAUGUGUUACCUUACUGUUAUAAAAUUAAAAUUUGAAGCUUGUAUGUAAUCUUUGUAUGUCUCUGUUCCAAGCUAUUCGACUUUGUUUCACUACCUAUUGCAUUACAGAAACCAAGCAGUCUAGAAAAGGUUAUGGAGAUUGACGAGCACAUAAAAUGUGCUGAGUGGUUUGAUAGUGGAUGCCUGCACUCUUGUUGAGCAUGCACGUGUUGAAACCCAAGUGUUGUUCACAUAACACUUUUUUGAUAAUAAAGUAGUUCAUGUCUUAACUGCUCUUUACGAGAAGUAACUAGUUGGCCGAAUUUGUUUAGUUUAGGGAUAUCAACCGCUACUCUCCGAGUUACUAUUAGGCUUUGCACAAACAGCAAAUACAAUUAAAAUUUUAAAAUAUAUAAAUACUGUUGAAUUCAAACUUAACCUUAUUUGAGACUCUGGUCUAUUCCACUGUUCAAUAUUUGAGACAAGACCCUAAUAGUUUUGGAUUGCAUAAUCAAAUAGUGUAAGCAUACUGGUAGUAUGUAUAUGUCGACAGUUUCUUUUCAAGUAUAAGAUGAUUAUGUAUGCAAAAGUUCUUCAAUCAUGUUUUAGAGAUUGCAGCGCAUGUCAUGAAUGUCUUUUCAUCAAAAAAUGGCAUCCAUGAAUCCACGGUUGUGUUAAAUAAAACUGCAUUAUGUAAUUGGGAACCAUUACACAGUUGGAAAGGAUUCGUUGGUCAACCUUGUUACUGUGAAGGUGCUUCCCAUUAAUUCUGUCAAUGAGAAUGCAGUGUGUAUGAUUUUUUUUUUAAUGCAAUGAAUCUGUGUUUUCAUAUAUGAAUAAAUCAGUAUUCGAGUCAAUUACCACAAUUUGCAUUCCUACGUCUUCUGCUUGACCAUUCACCACUUAAAACUUUGUUGGUAAAUGAAGUUGUUACCUUUAUCUAUAGCAUCAUGCUCCUCCUUUUUUUCUUUUUGCUUAAAUAAGUAGCGCAUGCAGAUAUUUCACUGAUCCAUCUGGCACAUUUUUGGCAAUGCAAUGCAAAAGCUAUAGGUUCUGGUUCUGAAGGAGCGGAUAGUUGUUUGCAAGAGCAAUAUAACAAGGACCUAACUCUUCAACUAGCUGAAACGACAGCUCUUUCCAUACUGAAGCAAGUGAUGGAAGAAAAAGUAAUAUAAUUGGAUCUCUGAUGAAUUGGAUUGUGCAACUACCUCAACAAAUAGCCUUCCCAUUGGUUGGGGCAUUGUCGACUGGAAUAGUUUGUAUGGUAGCUUUGAGAUGAUCCAGCAAUUCAUGGAAUUGCUGAAAAAGGAAGAAAAAGGAAGCAUCCAAGCAAUCAACAUGUUAAGCUUGUUCUAGGUGAUACCUUCCUAAAUGCCAUGAUACAUCUUCAACCCAAUGCCUCUCCAUUUUCUCUUCCCCUUUCUCCUUUUCUAGAGAUCGUUUCUUUUCCAUGCUGAGAACAACAUCUCCAAAAGUGAUACAUUGCAUUUGGAUCAAAUGCCUUCUCUCUCAGAAUCAAAGUGCAUUCAACAAAGGUUACAUUCAAAUCACUGUACAUGGAAGAAAAAUACCUGGGUUCUUAUCUUCUCAUAUGGGUCAAACCCAUGGUUGAAUUCAUUGUACUUGCAACGACAGGUUUGUAGUGGUCAAAAAGAUCUUGUGCUCAUAUUCUUGAAUUGUAUUUGAGAUGGCAAUUUCAAUUCGAACUGUUGUGCACUACUCAUGUUAGGGUCAUGGAUUGUAUGGGUCAAACCCAUGUUAUGGUCAUGCAUCCAAGGUUGACUUCACUGUAGGAUGGCAAUUUCAAUUUUACCUGCACUACUCUCGACCCGGUCCGAUCGAACCAGGUUUGAUCAAUUACUUCCAGUAGUAAUUUGUUUUCUAUCUUGUAAAUUUCAAAAGGAGAAAAAUACAUAUGUAUCGGUUUUUUUUUUUUUUUGAUUGAUGAGGAUAUAAUAUCAAUAAAUAUGAUGUAGGGAGAGUGUAAAAUGUUGAAUUGGUGUGGCAAGGAAUUUGACUUGCUCUCAUUGAUAGUUUGGGAAGGUUGGUUGGAGAUGGGGCAAAGGAUGCUACAAUAAAGUUUGAUCGAU